ensembl:lncRNA
GUGUGUGUGUGUGUGUGUGUGUGUGUGUGUGUGUAGAACCUGUGUGUGUGUGUGAGUGUGUAAGUGUGAGUGUGUGUGAGUGAGUGCACAAAAGGUGAACAUGCAAGACAAAUGAUUUAACUGACUUUGAACGAGGAACGAUGGUGGAUUCUGGCUGCACUGCCAUGAAUUAUGACAAGAAUGGCAAUGCGCUGGGAGUGUGCUAAUGCGUGGCAAUGUCACCGGGAUGUCAAGACAAACUGCCAGCUGGCGGUCCUUUCGGGGUCACAGACAGAGAGCACGAAAUGGCUUCCCUUCCCGCCGCAGGAAUGCUUCUGAGAAAGAUCAAUGGAAAACGGACUCCAAUCUCACUUCACAUUUCUCCUCUCCCUGAACGACACGCAUUCUCACCAAGUGGACAUUGAUGUAACACUCUGUGACUGAGAAAUCUCCGCUUUGAAAAAAAGAUAGCACUUCAAAUAAUGUCACUCUAGAAGUCUUGCCACGUACACGGAGUAGUUUUUUUGGGGUGUUCACGACAACACGGAAGGAGGAUCUAAGCCCCUGACCUUUUUUUUUAAGAGAGAAGAUUUCUCCACCGGGCUGUGUCAAAUGAAAGGAUAUGUAAAAACAAGGGGUCAAAGUACAAAACUGGUUUUGGCAGUUUAGAGUCAACAACAGCAAAUCAUAUAAUUGCUGUGUAAAAUUACAGGGGGAAAACAACAGCAACAACAAAACUAAAAGCUUCACUGCAUACAA